AAUGUUUUUUGCAGCCACAUGUUGACUUUGGAUUAAAAGUACUUGGUGCGAAUGCUAUGUCCAUUCCUGGCCUAUAUGGGUUUGUCCAGAAAUAUCCGCUGCCUGAAGUGCAAAGCUGAGGAACCAAAGAAGUCAGGAGGAAGUGAUAUUGAAAUGAAGAAAGGUGAUUGGAAUUAUCCAAAGUGGGUCAAUUUUUCUCAAAAAGUGAAGGAACUAGGAAUAUCAUUUCUCUUGGUACC